rnacentral:tRNA from 1 species
AUGUAGCCAAGUGAUC